AUUGAACGCUGGCGGCAUGCUUUACACAUGCAAGUCGAACGGUAACAGGCCGCAAGGUGCUGACGAGUGGCGAACGGGUGAGUAAUGCAUCGGAACGUGCCCAGUCGUGGGGGAUACUUAUCGAAAGGGUAGCCAAUUCCGCCAACCGACCAAGGGUGAAAGCCGGGGAACCGAAGGCCUUGCGCCGUUGGAGCGGCCGAUGUCAGAUUAGGUAGUUGGUGGGGUAAAGGCUCACCAAGCCAACGAUCUGUAGCUGGUCUGAGAGGACGACCAGCCACACUGGGACUGAGACACGGCCCAGACUCCUACGGGAGGCAGCAGUGGGGAAUUUUGGACAAUGGGCGCAAGCCUGAUCCAGCAAUGCCGCGUGCAGGAAGAAGGCCUUCGGGUUGUAAACUGCUUUUGUACGGAACGAAACGGCUCUGGUUAAUACCCGGGGCUAAUGACGGUACCGUAAGAAUAAGCACCGGCUAACUACGUG
rnacentral:rRNA from 1 species